rnacentral:rRNA from 1 species
AACUGCGAGUGAAGCGGCAAAAGCUCAAAUUUGAAAUCGAUGACCCUCACCGGCAUCGAGUUGUAAUUUUGAGGGACAUCUUCGGGAAGGACCACGCUGUAAGUUCCUUGGAACAGGACGUCACAGAGGGUGAGAAUCCCGUGCCUUGGCGUGAGUACAACCCAUGUGAAGAGUCUCCGACGAGUCGAGUUGUUUGGGAAUGCAGCUCAAAAUGGGUGGUAAAUUUCAUCUAAAGCUAAAUAUUGGCGAGAGACCGAUAGCGCACAAGUAGAGUGAUCGAAAGAUGAAAAGCACUUUGAAAAGAGAGUCAAAAAGUACGUGAAAUUGUUGAAAGGGAAGCGCUUGCGACCAGACUCGAUCUUUGGUGACCAGCUGGGCUUCUGUCCGGUGCCCUUGCCAUUGAUUGGGCCAGCAUCGGUUCUGACGGUGGGAUAAAAGUGGUAGGAAUGUGGCUCCCUCCGGGGAGUGUUAUAGCCUGCAACACAAUGCCACCAGUUGGGACCGAGGACCGCGCUUCGGCUAGGAUGCUGGCGUAAUGGUCUUAAGCGA